UUUCAUAAUGAGUUUAUUGUCUCAUUCGCUGGUUUUAAGGCUUCUGCAAACCAGAAUGAUAUUCAUUUUUUGAAUUAUGGUCUCGAUUAUAAAAUCAGUGAUAAAGCAGGGGGUAUUUUAGGGCGUGGCUAUGAUGGCAUUGACAGUCAAAGUGUGU